rnacentral:rRNA from 1 species
AGCAGCCGCGGUAAUUCCAGCUCCAAUAGCGUAUAUUAAAGUUGUUGCAGUUAAAAAGCUCGUAGUUGAAUUUUGGGGUCAGUAGGUUGGUCAUGCCACUGGUAUGUACUGGUCUCACUGAUUCCUCCUUCCUGAUGAACUGUAAUGCCAUUAAUUUGGUGUUGCAGGGAAUCUGGACUGUUACUUUGAAAAAAUUAGAGUGUUUAAAGCAGGCUAACGCCUGAAUACAUUAGCAUGGAAUAAUGAAAUAGGACGUUCGAUCCUAUUUUGUUGGUUUCUAGGAUUGACGUAAUGAUUAAUAGGGAUAGUUGGGGGCAUUAGUAUUCAAUUGUCAGAGGUGAAAUUCUUGGAUUUAUUGAAGACUAACUACUGCGAAAGCAUUUGCCAAGGAUGUUUUCAUUAAUCAAGAACGAAAGUUAGGGGAUCGAAGACGAUCGGAUAUCGUCGUAG